UUUAGUACCAGUCAGUUACUCAGAUCGAUUGUUCCACACUAAUAACUCCAUGUGUCAAGCAGAAGAAAUGAAUGCACCAAAUCAAAUAAUACAAAGUGUGAAAACUGACAGAAAACCUGGAGAAGCACUAAAGAAGAGCAGAUGAUCAGUGUGGAGGUAGAUAGAGACACUGUGGAGGUGGAUAGAGACACUGUGGAGGUGGAUAGAGACACUGUGGAGGUAGAUAGAGACACUGUGGAGGUGGAUAGAGACACUGUGGAGGUAGAUAGAGACACUGUGGAGGUAGAUAGAGACACUGUGGAGGUGGAUAGAGACACUGUGGAGGUGGAUAGAGACACUGUGGAGGUAGAUAGAGACACUGUGGAGGUAGAUAGAGACACUGUGGAGGUGGAGGUAGAGACACUGUGGAGGUGGAUAGAGACACUGUGGAGGUAGAUAGAGACACUGUGGAGGUGGAUAGAGACACUGUGGAGGUGGAGGUAGAGACACUGUGGAGGUGGAUAGAGACACUGUGGAGGUAGAUAGAGACACUGUGGAGGUAGAUAGAGACACUGUGGAGGUGGAUAGAGACACUGUGGAGGUGGAUAGAGACACUGUGGAGGUGGAGGUAGAGACACUGUGGAGGUGGAUAGAGACACUGUGGAGGUAGAUAGAGACACUGUGGAGGUGGAUAGAGACACUGUGGAGGUGGAUAGAGACACUGUGGAGGUGGAUAGAGACACUGUGGAGGUGGAUAGAGACGCUGUGGAGGUGGAUAGAGACACUGUGGAGGUAGAUAGAGACGCUGUGGAGGUGGAUAGAGACACUGUGGAGGUAGAUAGAGACGCUGUGGAGGUGGAUAGAGACACUGUGGAGGUAGAUAGAGACACUGUGGAGGUAGAUAGAGACGCUG